CUGGCCUUUUGUCCAGGAGAUCAUCGGCUUCUGCGCAGUGAGUCCCGGAUUGUUCCGUCUAUGAGUGAACCCAGGUCCAGAAAUUAACAGGUAAGAUUGAUACCGUUAGAGCGGUAGACCCACAAGGGGUUUUAUAUUUGGAACCGGUUAUUGGUAUUGGCCCCUUCAUUGGAAGGAAGAAGCGAAAGCGCAACGCUUAUCUGGAAAUUAGACGCUCUGUAGUCAGCCCGUCUAAUAUAGGUG